rnacentral:lncRNA from 1 species
UUUGGCUAGAUCUUUUCCAUUUAGACUUUCUCUUUUUCAUAACUUUUCCCUUUUCUUUAUUUACUUCCAUGUUAUAUAAAUUACAUUUGUUGCAAUACACAUGAUACAAUGAGAUAAGACCACACUAUUUACCUUGUGGUCAGGGAUUAACAGCUGGACACUGGUAUUAAACAGAUGAUUGACAUAUUGGUCCCUCCUAAAUGCCUAUAUCUUUAGAUUGAUUACUAUGUGCUUUUAUUUACAUAAGUUCAUUAUCAAUUUACUCCCUGUUGUGAUAUGAUAAAAAAAAAA